GAGAUAUUUUUGAUUGGGGUUUUCACUAUUUAAAAUAAAAUACACACUUAACAAAAAUAUUAAUUUCUUUUAAUUUUAAUUUUCUUGUUUGCAAUAGAGAUUUCCAAUAGAAAUGUUUAACCUGUUAUUUAGCAAAGACUAUACGUAUAUGAAAAUAAUUAAAAGAAAAUAAUCUUAAAAUUGUACGAAGAAAAAAUAGCGACAAAAAUGUUCGUAAACAAAUCUUAAAAGACAUCUCUGCAAGGAAAGGGUGUCGAAUCAUUUUAGUGCGUUAAAAAGUAGAGUGUUUACAAGAUUUACUUUAUCUGCUUUUCCGUGCUGCAUUACCGUCUUUCUAGAUCCAGCCAGGUUUAAAAGAUGUAUCGCGCCCAACUGUUAAGAUCGACUUGAUACCAACCAUGACUAAUAAAUCAGUUAAUCCCCUAAGCUC
rnacentral:lncRNA from 1 species